rnacentral:rRNA from 1 species
UACAGAGGUCUCAAGCGUUGUUCGGAUUCAUUGGGCGUAAAGAGCUCGUAGGCGGUCUGUUACGUCUGCUGUGAAAACCCGGGGCUUAACCCUGGGCUUGCAGUGGAUACGGGUAGACUAGAGGCAGGUAGGGGAGAAUGGAAUUCCCGGUGUAGCGGUGAAAUGCGCAGAUAUCAGGAGGAACACCGGUGGCGAAGGCGGAUCUCUGGGCCUUACCUGACGCUCAGGCACGAAAGCUAGGGGAGCGAACAGG